rnacentral:rRNA from 1 species
UACGUAGGGCGCAAGCGUUAUCCGGAAUUAUUGGGCGUAAAGAGCUCGUAGGUGGUUUGUCGCGUCUGCCGUGAAAGUCCGGGGCUCAACUCCGGAUCUGCGGUGGGUACGGGCAGACUAGAGUGAUGUAGGGGAGACUGGAAUUCCUGGUGUAGCGGUGAAAUGCGCAGAUAUCAGGAGGAACACCGAUGGCGAAGGCAGGUCUCUGGGCAUUAACUGACGCUGAGGAGCGAAAGCAUGGGGAGUGAACAGG